rnacentral:rRNA from 1 species
AGCGUAGAAGGUAGUGCAAGUCUGAUGUGAAAGCCCGGGGCUCAACCCCGGGACUGCAUUGGAAACUGUAUAACUAGAGUGCAGGAGAGGUAAGUGGAAUUCCUAGUGUAGCGGUGAAAUGCGUAGAUAUUAGGAGGAACACCAGUGGCGAAGGCGGCUUACUGGACUGUAACUGACGUUGAGGCUCGAAAGCGUGGGGAGCAAACA